AUUGAACGCUGGCGGCAGGCCUAACACAUGCAAGUCGAGCGGUAACAGAGAGAAGCUUGCUUCUUUGCUGACGAGCGGCGGACGGGUGAGUAAUACUUGGGAACUUGCCUCUAGGCGGGGGACAACCACUGGAAACGGUGGCUAAUACCGCAUAAUGUCUACGGACCAAAGUGGGGGACCUUCGGGCCUCACACCUAGAGAUGGGCCCAAGCGGGAUUAGCUAGUUGGUGAGGUAAAGGCUCACCAAGGCGACGAUCCCUAGCUGUUCUGAGAGGAUGAUCAGCCACACUGGGACUGAGACACGGCCCAGACUCCUACGGGAGGCAGCAGUGGGGAAUCUUAGACAAUGGGCGAAAGCCUGAUCUAGCCAUGCCGCGUGAGUGACGAAGGCCUUAGGGUCGUAAAGCUCUUUCGCCAGGGAUGAUAAUGACAGUACCUGGUAAGGAAACCCCGGCUAACUCCGUGCCAGCAGCCGCGGUAAUACGGAGGGGGUUAGCGUUGUUCGGAAUUACUGGGCGUAAAGCGCGCGUAGGCGGAUUGGAAAGUUGGGGGUGAAAUCCCAGGGCUCAACCCUGGAACUGCCUCCAAAACUACUAGUCUAGAGUUCGAGAGAGGUGAGUGGAACUCCGAGUGUAGAGGUGAAAUUCGUAGAUAUUCGGAAGAACACCAGUGGCGAAGGCGGCUCACUGGCUCGAUACUGACGCUGAGGUGCGAAAGUGUGGGGAGCAAACAGGAUUAGAUACCCUGGUAGUCCACGCCGUAAACGAUGUCAACUAGUUGUUCGUGUCUUUAAGACGUGAGUAACGCAGCUAACGCACUAAGUUGACCGCCUGGGGAGUACGGCCGCAAGGUUAAAACUCAAAUGAAUUGACGGGGGCCCGCACAAGCGGUGGAGCAUGUGGUUUAAUUCGAUGCAACGCGAAGAACCUUACCAUCCCUUGACAUCCAGUGAAUUUUCCAGAGAUGGAUUAGUGCCUUCGGGAACACUGAGACAGGUGCUGCAUGGCUGUCGUCAGCUCGUGUUGUGAGAUGUUGGGUUAAGUCCCGCAACGAGCGCAACCCUUAUCCUUAGUUGCCAGCACGUAAUGGUGGGAACUCUGGGGAGACUGCCGGUGAUAAACCGGAGGAAGGUGGGGACGACGUCAAGUCAUCAUGGCCCUUACGGGAUGGGCUACACACGUGCUACAAUGGCGCGUACAAAGGGCAGCGAACCUGCGAAGGUAAGCGAAUCUCAUAAAGCGCGUCGUAGUCCGGAUUGUCGUCUGCAACUCGACGGCAUGAAGUCGGAAUCGCUAGUAAUCGCGUAACAGCAUGACGCGGUGAAUACGUUCCCGGGCCUUGUACACACCGCCCGUCACACCAUGGGAGUUGGGUUUACCCGAAGACGGUGCGCCAACCUUUAUAGGGGGCAGCUGGCCACGGUAAGCUCAGCGACUGGGGUG
rnacentral:rRNA from 2 species